GGACGAGGAGUAGGAGGGUGAAUGGCAUGAAUAGUUGGUUCUUUGCCCAAUUGAAUCAA
rnacentral:tRNA from 1 species